CUGGCGGAGGGAUCGCGGCGCCGGGCCGGCCGUGCGGGGCCGUGCGGGCUGUGCCUGGGGCGGCCGCCGGCGCUGGUCGAGCUCCGGCGCGCUCUGAUGGGGAUCGAGGGCGCGUCUGCCACACAAGAGCCAAGUGAGACCCGGGGGAAGGUCAGAGGCGCGCCAGAGGCCCGUCCUGCCGUUCGCCGCCCCUCAGCACCCAUGGUUGCGCCCCCCGCCUCCACCGUGCCCUGUCACCCUGUCCGCCUUCUCCCCGGUUGAACCUGUUACUGUAGUGUGUCUGGAGAGAUGGCAUGCAGGUUGGCUUAACAUCCAAACUUCGUGUAGUCGUUCCGAAAAAUAACGACACUACGCUUGCCCUGACACCCCCAACAAUAACUCAUCAGAUAUGGAGCAUCCUUUGAACGGCGACACCAGAAAUUUGGAAAAUGGCCCCACACAUGAUAUAAGAGACACCGAUGUGCUGGAGCUGACCUGCUCUCUGGUACUAGAGUGAGCUCCAAACUGGAAGCUGUGGCAGCCAGCAUGAGCAAUUGAGGCGAGCUCAGCGACCAGCAAACUUUGUGAAACUGGACAUUUUCCCCAUCAAAGCCAGACAAUGAGGCCUUGUCUACACUGGAGCACAGUAGUAACAAUUCCCACUGUGGCUGCCAUCAGUUCAGCUUGCCUGGUGGGAGCUGUUUAUUAAAA